rnacentral:rRNA from 1 species
UACAGAGGUCCCAAGCGUUGUUCGGAUUCACUGGGCGUAAAGGGUGCGUAGGUGGUUGGGCAAGUCUGAUGUGAAAUCUCCGGGCUUAACCCGGGAAUGGCAUUGGAUACUGCAGAUCUGGAGGAUCGGAGGGGGGACUGGAAUUCUUGGUGUAGCAGUGAAAUGCGUAGAUAUCAAGAGGAACACCAGUGGCGAAGGCGAGUCCCUGGACGAUACCUGACACUGAGGCACGAAAGCUAGGGGAGCAAACAGG